UCAAGACCUAUUUUCAUAUUAUUGAUAUUUGCACCAGGGUGAUCGUUUAGGGUCUCCAUCCCCAAUCAUAUCCCCAUUGAACCAUGUCAUCGAGCAGUUGUUUUUCUUCUGUGUUUCUGCUCCCACAGUUCUUCCUCUGGAUGUGGAUAGUGUUCUUUCUCAUGAAUCCCUCAGAAUUGACCUUGAUCAUUGCAUUGCUGCUAGUAGAGAAGUUCAUUAUGUUCAAUUGUGCCACAAAGUAUCAGUCUCUGCACAAUGUUCUUCUGCUCCUUUCACUCUGCAUCACUUCCUGGAAGUUGUUCCAGUUCACAUGGAAUUAAUUCCUCCACUUUAUUAUUCCUUUGAGCACAAUAAUAUUCCAUCACCAACAGAUUCCACAAUUUGUUCAGCCAUUCCCCAAUCGAAGGACAUCCCCUCAUUUUCCAGUAAUUAGUGUUUUAGUAACAAAAUGAAGACCCAAAUUCACAAUCCUUGAAACUGUUAGCAGAGUAUUUAAUGCCUUUCUAUUUCUUACUCUUGCUAUCCAUUUUCUGGGCAGGUGCUGCUGGAGACAUAAAUGUUGCUAUAAAAAUAUAGAUGAAAACUGUGGCCCUGAUUGGCGUCCUUAUGAUUAUUCCUUUGUGGAACCUGAUGAAUUAUGUUGUGGGAAACUAGCUGGGAUGUUCUUCUGGAUCUCUCCCUCCACCUACUUUCACUGCCAAAGGGAUGAAUGAAUGCAGUACUCUCUCCCACUUGAGGAGUGACUAUAGAUGGAAGGAAAGGAGAACAUACUUGGUUGCUGCCAACGGGAUGUGAUAGAAGACAGGACACCUAAGUUCUGGUUGCCUCAUCUACUGGAGCAGAUGGGUCUUGCUGGAAAAAUCAAAGUUGGUAUGAUACGAGAGGAAACAAAUCUGACCCCCAAAUCCAACAUUAUGGAUAGAGCUACCACCUGGGGAAGUAACCUGUGGUAAGUGAAUAAGAAUAAUAUUAACAAGUAGCAUUUAUAUAAUGCUUUAUUGCUGGGAUUGCUGGGCACUAUGGUAAUUUUUUUACAAAUAUCUCAUUUGAUUUUCAGAAUUACCCUAGGAUCUGGCAUUUU